UUGUAGUACUAGGAUGGGUGACCGCCUGGGAAGUCCUCGUGUUGCAUCCCU
rnacentral:rRNA from 1 species